AUUGAACGCUGGCGGCAUGCUUUACACAUGCAAGUCGAGCGGCAGCGCGGGGGCAACCCUGGCGGCGAGCGGCGGACGGGUGAGUAAUGCAUCGGAACGUAUCCCGUAGUGGGGGACAACCCAGCGAAAGCUGGGCUAAUACCGCAUAUGCUCUACGGAGGAAAGUGGGGGACCCGCAAGGGCCUCACGCUAUGGGAGCGGCCGAUGUCCGAUUAGCUAGUUGGUGGGGUAAAGGCCCACCAAGGCGACGAUCGGUAGCUGGUCUGAGAGGAUGAUCAGCCACACUGGGACUGAGACACGGCCCAGACUCCUACGGGAGGCAGCAGUGGGGAAUUUUGGACAAUGGGGGGCAACCCUGAUCCAGCCAUGCCGCGUGCGGGAG
rnacentral:rRNA from 1 species